rnacentral:rRNA from 1 species
GAUGAACGCUGGCGGCGUGCCUAAUACAUGCAAGUCGAGCGAACAGACGAGGAGCUUGCUCUUUUCACGUGAGCGGCGGACGGGUGAGUAACACGUGGAUAACCUACCUAUAAGACUGGGAUAACUACGGGAAACGGGAGCUAAUACCGGAUAAUAUAUUGAACCGCAUGGUUCAUUAGUGAAAGACGGUUUUGCUGUCACUUAUAGAGGGAUUCCCUCGUCUUUAGCUAGUUGGUAAGGUAACGGUCUACCAGGGCAACGAAGCGUAGCCGACCUGAGAGGGGGAUCGGCACCACGGGAACGGGAACCGGCUCAAGCUCCCUACGGGAGGAACCAGUAGGGAACCUUGGGCAUUGGGCGAAGGCCUACCGGAGCAACCCGCCUGAGGGAAUGAAGGUCUCGGGUCCGAAAGCCCCGGUUUUUGGGAAGAAACAGUUGUGGAAUGAAAUGUGCACGUCUUGACGGUACCUAAUCAGAAAGCCACGGCUAACUACGUG